rnacentral:rRNA from 1 species
GGGGGGGCAAGCGUUAUUCGGAAUUACUGGGCGUAAAGAGCGCGUAGGCGGUCAGGUAUGUCAAAGGUGAAAUCCCUCGGCUCAACCGAGGAACGGCCUUUGAAACUGCCUGACUUGAGGCUGGGAGGGGAUAGCGGAAUUCUCGGUGUAGCGGUGAAAUGCGUAGAUAUCGAGAGGAACACCUGUGGCGAAGGCGGCUAUCUGGACCAGUUCUGACGCUGAGGCGCGAAAGCGUGGGGAGCAAACAGGGAUUAGAUACCCUGGUAGUCCACGCUGUAAACGAUGGGUACUCGGUGAUGCGGGUGUCGACUCCCUGCAUUGCCUUAGCUAACGCGUUAAGUACCCCCGCCUGGGGAGUACGGUCGCAAGGCUG